GGCGCAGGCGCUGAGGGGGCUUAGAGAUGGCGGUUCAACCUGGUGGGCUCACCGCGGGGUGCUGCUGAGGCGUUCCACCAGCGCUGUGCUGUGCAGUGCUGCGAGCCGCAGCCAUCCUCAUCCCGCUGAAAGAACCCCCGUCAUAGAAUCACAGAAUGGUUGGGUUGGAAGGGACCUCAAGGAUCACGAAGCUCCAACCCCCUGCCUGCAGGCAGGGCCACAACCUCCACAUUAAUAGCAGCCCAGGCUGCCCAGGGCCCCAUCCAACCUGGCCUUGAACACCUCCAGGGAUGGACGGGGCAUCCACAGCCUCUCUGGGCAGCUGUUCAGCACCUCACCACUCUCAUAUGAUGCAAGAAUAUUAAAAGAACCACAACAAAACCACAGAGACCCAAGGAGAUGGAGCAGCCCGAGCUCCCCAGCUGUGAGGUCUCAACAGCACUGAGGAGGCAAACUCCAACCAGAGUUGUUCCAGGUGAAAACCUUUCCUCAGACGAGUGGUGCAAAACAUGGCACAGAUUGGAGCUGCUGGCUGUCAGAAAGGGAUUUGUCCUUUCCUGAUCACCUCCAAGUCCUUCAGCACAUCUGUUCCAGUUUGAAGCAGUCAUUCUUGGACACGGGGGAGCAGAGGCACACACAAUUCAUGGCUGGACUGAGAUGCGUCAGUGGGAUCUUCCAUCCAAACUGAUUUCCUGCUUUAGGCCUAUCUGUAUUAAGACCCUUUAAACCAGUUCUUUAUUUUAUAUUCAUCUUCAUAGAAUCAUAGAAUGGCCUGGGUUGAAAAGGACCACAAUGAUCAUCUGGUUUCAACCCCCUGCUAUGUGCAGGGUCACCAACCACCAGACCAGGCUGCCCAGAGCCGCAUCCAGCCUGGCCUUGAAAAGCUUCUCAAGCUUUGCUACCAGUUUUCCACAUAGUUUCCUGUACCAUUUGUAUUACUGAAGAUACACCUUACUUCUUCUGAGCAGAAAGCCACUUACACUGGAUUUGUCUGCACAAACCUUAGGCAAGAUUGUGUUGCUUUCUCUCCCAGUAGAUUUUACUUCAAAACUUCCAGAGCCUUGCACAGAGAAUCAUAGAAUCCUUAGAGUUGGAAGGGACCUCUGGAGGCCAUCCAGUCCAACUCCCCUGCAAUGAACAGGGACACCACAGCUAGGUCAGGUUGCCCAGGGCCUGGUCCAGCCUUGCCUUGAAAGACUCCAUGGAUGGGGCAUCAAGCACAAUAUUAGUUAUCCUGUUCCAGAACCUCUCCAUCCUCACUGUAAACGACUCUCUCCUUACAUCUAACCUUGUAAUAUUUCAGUGAGAAGCAGUCCCAGGCUUCCUACGUGCUCCCAGGCACCUCAGUCCCAUUGACUGCAUUGAGCCGUUAAGUGAUUCCAGUUUUAAGAACCGUGGUUCACUACUGUUCAUGGGGGUCCCUUAAAAAAAACAAAAGGUAAAUCACUGAAAAAUCAACAUUAGCAGCACUAACGGCCAUAAAAUCAUACGCCUUUUAUUUAACAUAAAAUGAGACAUUAAGAUAAAAUACACAGUUGCUCAUGUGCUGAAGAACUACGGUAUUUUACAUUCAUUUAUAAAGCAGGUAGUUUUACAUGACAAAAAGAAGUGAGAGGAAAAGGAACGGAAUCUGCAGUAAGACAGAAGCCACGGAGCAGGCUUUUGCUUGUCCAAGUGCUACCUCCUAUGGGCACAGAUCUUCAAGUGACAGGUUAGAAACUGGCCGUUCUUAGCACUCCUCUGAUCCCUCUUAAUGCUGCUGGGAAGCUAAGGUGGAGGCUUACACAGCAAAAUGAGUGACAACGUGUUGAGGAAACACCCUUGGCCAAGAGGCACAGCUGCAGCACGACGGACCACGUCUGUCCCUGCUGUCUUGCUCCUUUGCAGGAAUGGGCCUACACAGUCUUAAAUGCCUGCAGCUUACAUUACCAAAUCCCUUUGUUUUUUUACUCACUUGCCAGAUUUGUAACUGAAAUUUGACUUGUCAAGCAGACAGCAGUAGGGUGAGGGCUCACGGCUGCACAGAUUUAGGGCACAGGAAGGGAGCUACCAUCCGUCAGUGUGGGUGGCUGCUGGAGGCGUGUACCUUGCACACCUCCAGGCACACAAUAAAGGACUGUACCCAGAACCUCUGUCCCUGCUGCUCGAGACAAUGGGACAACACCUUCCACAUCGCAGCCGCAGGUGGGCUAAGAGGACAGCCCUGCCCUGAUGCCCUGCAGCAUCUGCUAACUGAACGGUACAGGAGACCGGCUGGUAAGGUUUAAAUCAGGGUAGGGAGGAACGGGAGAUGCAGCAGUACCAGGGGAGUAAGGAAUGUUGUUUGUCAAAGUGCAGCAGAUCGAAACACGUUACUAGUAUAUAUUUUGUCUACCCCAUGUAUCUUAAAUAUGAAAACAAAUAUAAAACAACCUUAAUUCCAUCUCACGUCUGUGGUGCUUCCCAAGGUGUAAUGUCACCACAAGGCCGAGGUGGAGCUGGUCUUGCAACUUACACGUGGCCAACGCAGCCGUGCACACCUAUACGGAUGCACACACAUCUGCACAGCCCCUAUAUGCACACCCACCAGUGGGGCUUCCUGAUAGUGCAACUGCUCAGAGGGGAAGCCCCACCAAUAUGCAGACAGCAAAUUUUGACUAAAUACUGGGUUCCAUCCUCUUGUUUUCAAGAGAUCCCAAUGACAACCGAUGUGGUAUAAAAACACCAGUUGCCCACCUUUUCAGUUCUCAGAUUUGUACUUUAAAACCUGACUUGUCAAUCAUUCUUCUUUUCCCACAUUGUUUCCUUCCCCAUAACUCCCAGUGACAGAGAUUUCUUUUAAUCACCUCCAGUUUACAUACAGGAGUUGCAGGAACAAGUGAGUAUAAAUGUCACUGGAGAUUCAUCUAACCCAAAUGGGCAUUGCAGAGGUGGGACAAGACAGGGAUGCUCUGGAGCCAUUUCUACCCUUAUCUCCAUAGCAAAUUUGCGUGCAGAACUGGGGCCAGCAGCUGUGUGGGCUGCAGAUCUCCAGCCUGCAAAACACACUGCAGUGCCCUGCUUGUCCCUGCCAUAGGGGAUGCCCCAUAGAAUGAUAUCAUAGAAUCAUAGAAUGGCCUGGGUUGAAAAGGACCACAGUCAUCAUCUGGUUUCAA
ensembl:lncRNA